ensembl:lncRNA
CUUUAAGCCAACUUUUUCACUCUCCUCUUUCACUUUCAUCAAGAGGCUCUUUAGUUCUUCUUCACUUUCUUCCAUAAGGGUGGUGUCAUCUGCAUAUCUGAGGUUAUUGAUAUUUCUCCCAGCAAUCUUGAUUCCAGCUUGUGCUUCCUCCAGCCCAGCGUUUCUCAUGAUGUACUCUGCAUAGAAGUUAAAUAAGCAGGGUGACAAUAUACAGCCUUGACGUACUCCUUUUCCUAUUUGGAACCCGUCUGUUGUUCCAUGUCCAGUUCUAACUGUUGCUUCCUGACUUGCACAUAGGUUUCUCAAGAGGCAGGUCAGGUGGUCUGGUAUUCCCAUCUCUUUCAGAAUUUUCCACAGUUUAUUG